AAGUACUUGCAGUCAGUGUUAGUCACUCUGGGAGUGGGAGGAGGAGGUAGUGGCUAUGGCGGGUCUGGUGUCCAGUGAAUGACAGGUUCACCUACAUGGUGAAGAUUGGCAAUCAGACCUUCCCGGCCGUAGUUGCCAACAGCUAAAAGGUUGCCGGGCGGCUGGGGCCGCGGUGAAGCAGCUGAUCAGCAACAGCUUGUUAGUCCCAGACCAGACACUGAUGGUGGCGAUGAAAAUGCAGCCAUACAUAUGGGGUUGGCGAGAAUGAAGGACCACGCUAGAGCUUUCUUACAUGAUAAAUGUAAAUUUAUUUUAAAUAUUUUCUUUUUUGCUUUCCCCAAGUAAAUUGUUCCCACUA